rnacentral:rRNA from 1 species
UACGAAGGGGGCUAGCGUUGUUCGGAAUUACUGGGCGUAAAGCGCAUGUAGGCGGGUCGUUAAGUCGGGGGUGAAAGCCCAGAGCUCAACUCUGGAACUGCCUUCGAUACUGGCGACCUGGACCCAAGGAGAGGCGAGUGGAAUUGCGAGUGUAGAGGUGAAAUUCGUAGAUAUUCGCAGGAACACCAGUGGCGAAGGCGACUCGCUGGACUUGUGGUGACGCUGAGAUGCGAAAGCGUGGGGAGCAAACAGGAUUAGAAACCCCUGUAGUCC